rnacentral:rRNA from 1 species
AUUGAACGCUGGCGGCAGGCCUAACACAUGCAAGUCGAGCGGUAGCACAGGGAGCUUGCUCCUGGGUGACGAGCGGCGGACGGGUGGGUAAUGUCUGGGAAACUGCCUGAUGGAGGGGGAUAACUACUGGAAACGGUAGCUAAUACCGCAUAACGUCGCAAGACCAAAGAGGGGGACCUUCGGGCCUCUUGCCAUCAGAUCUGCCCAGAUGGGAUUAGCUAGUAGGUGGGGUAACGGCUCACCUAGGCGACGAUCCCUAGCUGGUCUGAGAGGAUGACCAGCCACACUGGAACUGAGACACGGUCCAGACUCCUACGGGAGGCAGCAGUGGGGAAUAUUGCACAAUGGGCGCAAGCCUGAUGCAGCCAUGCCGCGUGUAUGAAGAAGGCCUUCGGGUUGUAAAGUACUUCCAGCGGGGAGGAAGGUUUUGAGGUUAAUAACCUCAGCAAUUGACGUUACCCGCAGAAGAAGCACCGGCUAACUCCGUGCCAGCAGCCGCCGUAACAC